AUUGAACGCUGGCGGCAUGCCUUACACAUGCAAGUCGAACGGCAGCACGGGAGCAAUCCUGGUGGCGAGUGGCGAACGGGUGAGUAAAGUAUCGGAACGUGCCCAGUCGUGGGGGAUAACGUAGCGAAAGUUACGCUAAUACCGCAUACGAUCUAUGGAUGAAAGCGGGGGAUCGCAAGACAUCGCGCGAUUGGAGCGGCCGAUAUCAGAUUAGGUAGUUGGUGGGGUAAAGGCCCACCAAGCCGACGAUCUGUAGCUGGUCCGAGAGGACGACCAGCCACACUGGGACUGAGACACGGCCCAGACUCCUACGGGAGGCAGCAGUGGGGAAUUUUGGACAAUGGGCGAAAGCCUGAUCCAGCCAUGCCGCGUGCAGGAUGAAGGCCUUCGGGUUGUAAACUGCUUUUGUACGGAACGAAAAGGACUGCCCUAAUACGGUGGUCCCAUGACGGUACCGUAAGAAUAAGCACCGGCUAACUACGUGCCAGCAGCCGCAGUAACAC
rnacentral:rRNA from 1 species